ACACCUACGGGUGGCAGCAGUGGGGAAUAUUGCACAAUGGGCGAAAGCCUGAUGCAGCGACGCCGCGUGAGGGAUGACGGCCUUCGGGUUGUAAACCUCUUUCAGCAGGGAAGAAGCUUAAUCGUGACGGUACCUGCAGAAGAAGCACCGGCUAACUACGUGCCAGCAGCCGCGGUAAUACGUAGGGUGCGAGCGUUGUCCGGAAUUAUUGGGCGUAAAGAGCUUGUAGGCGGUUUGUCGCGUCUGCUGUGAAAACUCGGGGCUUAACCCCGAGCCUGCAGUGGGUACGGGCAGACUAGAGUAUGGUAGGGGAGACUGGAAUUCCUGGUGUAGCGGUGGAAUGCGCAGAUAUCAGGAGGAACACCGAUGGCGAAGGCAGGUCUCUGGGCCAUAACUGACGCUGAGAAGCGAAAGCAUGGGGAGCGAACAGGAUUAGAUACCCUGGUAGUCCAUGCCGUAAACGUUGGGCGCUAGGUGUGGGGCUCAUUCCACGAGUUCCGUGCCGCAGCUAACGCAUUAAGCGCCCCGCCUGGGGAGUACGGCCGCAAGGCUAAAACUCAAAGGAAUUGACGGGGGCCCGCACAAGCGGCGGAGCAUGCUGAUUAAUUCGAUGCAACGCGAAGAACCUUACCAAGGCUUGACAUAUACCGGAAACACUCA
rnacentral:rRNA from 1 species